GAAGUUGGACUAAUACCUUAUGUAUUCGUUUGAUCUCAUGAGAUUACGAAUAAAGAUUUAUCGGUUAUGGAUGGGGAUGCGUCUGAUUAGCUUGUUGGCGGGGUAACGGCCCACCAAGGCAACGAUCAGUAGGGGUUCUGAGAGGAAGGUCCCCCACAUUGGAACUGAGACACGGUCCAAACUCCUACGGGAGGCAGCAGAA
rnacentral:rRNA from 1 species